rnacentral:lncRNA from 1 species
CAAGCCCAAGUGCCGGGUGCUGCGCUUUGGCCACAGCAGCCCCACGCAGCGCUGCAGCCUCGGGGCAGUGGCUGGCAAGCUGUGCGGAGGUAAAGGCUGCGGGGCUGUUAGCUGACAGCCGGCUGAACGUGAGCCAGCAGUGUGCCCAGGCGGCCAAGAAGGCCAACGGCACCCCGGCGUGUGUCAGCGGGAGUGCGGCCAGCAGGAGCAGGAGGUGACCGUCCCUCCGCACUGGCACUGCUGAGGCCGCACCUCGAGUGCUGCGCUCAGUGCCGGGCCCUCACUGCGAGAAAGACACUGAGGGCCUGGAGCGUGUCCAGAGAAGGGCAGCGGAGCUGUGAGGGCUCUGGAGCACAGUGUGAUGGGGAGCGGCUGAGGGAAGCGGGGCUGUUCGUCUGGAGAAGAGGAGGCUCAGGGGAGACCUCCUGGCUCUCUGCAACGACCUAAAAGGAGGCUGUGUGUG